rnacentral:lncRNA from 1 species
GUCACGCCCCGGGACCCAGCGGGAGCCCGCCCGGCGCGUGCCCAGACCCGCCAUAUGUCUACAACAUAUAAGGCGUCUAAAAACAACAAUAAUAACAGCAAUAAUAAAAGACAUCUAGAAGUAUCAGAGCAUAAUAAAUGUCUAAAUGCUACAACAAGGGAUAAGGAUAAAACAGUAAAUCCACUAAAUAAAACAUAGAGUAAGAACAAUAGGAAAUCCCAAAUACAAGAGCUAUAAGUAGGUACAUAGGUGGUCUCUAUACAUGAAUACAAAAUCUCUCACUCUCUCUCAACUACAAAAAGAAAGAGUAAACCACCUAGGCAAAGUACCGCUCCUCGCUAGCUAGCUAAGCGAUCCCCUUGCCGC